CUGGAACCAUGGGACUGUGCUCCGUGGCAUUUUUGGCAUUCACUUUUAUUGUGCGAGUGGUUCAAGGUCUUCCGGGCGGGCUUACAUGGUGGGUGGUGGUGCAGAGCAGUUUUGUCCAAAUGGUUGCAGUCGAAGGGAAUUUUGGAAUUGUGGAACUUUCGGGCCAAAACUAAAGAUGCAUAAGAGAGUGGUAAUCCCGGCAAAUGGCGUAUAAAUGCCCAAGUUCACCCAGAGGCACUCGAAGUGCCCUAAAUGUCUCCCUGCCCUGCCACUUAUAAAUGAGCGAGUAUUUAUAUUUUUCAUUUUGCUGUUUUCAGCGCAACUUUUGGCGAGCUUGGAGCAUUUUGCGAUGGGAAACAGGCGGGUAAUUUUCCAUGCCAGGAAGCAGCUGCUCCCAGUGCACUUGGCACCGCAGAAGCCAUCAUUUAAAUUACUGAAUUUCAACUGCUCCGACAUCAAUCAACAGCGUCCAGUGGCAGUAUUAGUUUUAGCCGGGAAACUUUUAUAAUUGGCCGCUAUGAGGAUAAUGCCGAGUGCAAGGUAAAGUAAUUAAAGAAGAGCAUGGCAUUGGCCCAAAAAAUCCCCUAAUCAAGCAAAUAAAUUGGGUCUUAACCCGGGCUCUGUGCCACUUUCAAUAAACUUUCCAGACGCACCCAAAGUUUUCCAGUGCAAACUGCCAGCAGAGACCAACAAUUAGCUUACCAGACUAAUCAGGCCUUUGAAGUGGCUUCCUAAAUGCACGUAUUCAUUAGAAUCUGCCCCCUCCAAAUGUCUGUUGCAUAUUGAAAUGGACUCAUAUUGUGUCCUGGCACAUGUGAUUAGUAAUUCAGUUCGACUGAUGCGAUGCUCGUCGUAUAUCCUUUCAGGCGACCGGAAACAGGAAGCAAUGCCAACUCUCGUUGCAAUUAAUUUAGAAUUUUUGCAAUACGGUUUCGUAACUCAGUCAGGAAAUUGACAGAUCCGAUUGCCAUUGCACUGGCUCCCUUGGGGCUCUGAUUGAAAUUGCUAUUUAUAUUCCACAAAGUCGGACGUUAAUUUCUUCUGUAAGCUCCAAUGAAAUUGUGGCAGCAAUCCGCAUUUUGUCACAACACAUUGGCGGUGCAAAGUGUCCAUUACUGUGAGGAAAAUUAAAUUGGAAAUCCCACAGUCCGCAGUCAGCCUGUGGCGUUAUGAAUCUGCAUUGCAUUUCGAAAAUUAUGCAAAAAGUAUGAAAAGCCACAAAAAUGCAGAUACUGCAAAUAUGAAAAUCAGUAUGUGGGCCAAACUUAAAAUGUUGUCGUUGAAUUAUUACAGGCGAACCAUAAUUUCAUUGUAUUUUUGGGGAUUAGAUAGCAACACUGUUGUUUACAAACGAAAGUAGACACUUUCGGAAACAAUUCCAUAUAUUUAUUUUGUCUCUGAUUAUGUGCCACUAUUUUAAUGGCUUAAUAUUAUUAUUUGUUGGUUCAGAGAAGUUGACAGAGAUUUAUGGCAUACUUGAGACGUCGUCUAGCAAACACAGAAGAGCAUCAUCAAUUUUAAUAAAACCCCCCAUUGUUUUCGCACAUGCAUGUGUGCAUUUGAGUUUGAGGAUGAGCAAGUUUUUUAUCACACAACUUCACUGCGACGAGGAAACAUUUGUCAGUCCAAGAUGUGGUGGUUAAAUCGGAACAAUAUUGUACAAAUUCACUUAAAGUUGAGUUGCUGCGCUCUUCAUAAAAAAUAAUAUUGCACAUAAAAUCCAAACUAAGCCAUGGAGACAGCAAUGCGCUAUUAUAUUUCCAUUUUGCUAAGCUGGAUACAAUUGAAAAUUCCACAACGGGCAUAUGAAAAUUGAUUCCGCUCCGCAGGAUUUCCAGCUGCUUUUCCCCAGUAGCAUUUAGUUUUGGCUAACAUUGGUCGCCGAUAAUAACUCAACAGCUUUUGUAUUUGACGGCCAUUUAAUACAACGAGACGGAGCGAAAUGAAACAAAGGCAAUGACAGCUGCGAAACAAUUGCACAACUAAUCAAUGACGGCCAUCAAUGGAGUGCAGUGGAAAAUGGUUGGAGGGGGCGAAGGGAGAGUAACGAAAAAACAUUAGGAAAACAAUUAAACUAAUUGACGGCAAUUUAUACGCGGCAAGGAGACAAAGCGAAAACAGAGGGCCAGCCGAGAGAAACUUGCACAAAAACCAAAAGUUUUAUAGGAGAAAAUUGGAUCUGGAAAGUUCGUUCGCAAAGUAAACCGCUGAAAAUGGGGGCGGCAAGCGAAGAUAUUGUGAUAAAAAAGGCAGUGGUGCUCCAUUAACUUGGCCACUAAUGAAACCGCAUUGAAAGAGCACCCUGCACCGGCGGAGAAGAAGCUGUCUAAUUGACACUGUCUGGUCUGAAAUGCGAAUUAAUUCACUGCUCGGGAAAUUUCUGAUUGCAUCGCUCAUACGACCCGUGCGCCAUACUUUAUUCGCCUUGCUACCACAUUAAAUGCGCCGAUUGUCGCAAGGCUAAGCGGCGAGUUUAAUUAAAGUCCGUAUUUAAUUUAAGCUCAAGUAUGGUUGCAAAAUGCACCAGUUUCCUUCAAUCCCCGCAGUUCCUUGCCACAAAGAACACACACACCGUUCCUAAUCCCAUUUCCGCCAUGAAAGGCACAUACACAAAACCAAAGGCAACUCAAAGGCAGCUGAGUUCCAUCUUCCUGGCGUCCUUGUGGUCCUGGCGGAUACUGCGGAUACUUGCUCAAGUGCUCAUAGAGAGCUAAAGGUGGGACUUUUAAAAAUGUUAAUGUAUUAAAUAUAAAACCCUAAUAAAACCAAAUUAAAAAAAGAACAAUUUUCAAGUUUUCAGCCUCAGCAAAAAAAACCGAAAGAGUUGAUUAACAUUUUCCGCGUUGAUGAAUUAAGUCAUCUCGCUGGACUUAAUUCUCGCUGAUUUCACUUAAAUUGAUAAGAGGCGGCAUCCAGUGCAAAUAAUCUUUUCCAUUCCUUGACUCAUUGCGAGCCUCGAUUGUCACUCGAUAAUGCGUAGGCUCGUUUUUUCAUAUUUAUAGCAUUUAUUGCCUGAUUGCACAUUAAUUUCUGAUGACACUUUUAUGUUGUGCGAUGUCAGCUCAGUUUAUAAUACAGCUUCAUAUGGCGGGGUAAUUGCCAUUUCCCGAUGCAUUUAAUAAAGUCCGAUAUCGUUAUUAUCGCACUGUCGCCCAAUAAAUUAGUUAUUGGUAUUUCGCUUAAUAAGAAAAAUAACCAUCUUCGGGGCAAUUCAAACACAAAUUCCGGCAAUCAGCCCGAGUCCUUGGUAUACUCGUCCUUGGAAAAACUUCCAUAACAGACCAUUACACUGGCAAAGCUGUUUGCCGUCCGCAUUGCGGUGUCCUUAGCAGCUUGUGCAAUUGCAUUAGGGGAUUGCCCACUUCCCAUCCCGCUGGACACGCCACAUGCCACACACCAAACACGCAUAGACUCAUAUAAUAUUUAUUGCACUUUUGUUUACCAAGCGGCGUGGUGUGUGAAGUUUAAUAAAUCUUAAAGCUUGCCUUGCAGCAUUUUCUGGCUCUUGAAAUUUAUGCGACCUUUAGAAUGUAGCAGCAAUGUUAUCGGAUGAGAUAAGUGCGUUAUCACAGUGGCAGCAUCAACGGUAAGUGGCUUAUCCGCUCAUCCCGCACCCAGAAUCCCCGAUCCACUUAGAGUCCUUCGAAGGCGGAGUCCUGCUGUUUGCUUUAUAGCCCACCCGCCUGCCGAGUGUGACACACGUCCAUACAUUUAUUAGCAUAUUGGCAGCAGCCAACUCCCCGCCUAAUGAUGCAGAAAUGUAAAACAACUGGGACUCGGAGCUUUGCAGCCAUGGAGCUCCAUUUCAACGGUUUCCCCACAUUGCUCCAUCUCAUGUGGAGCGCAGAGGGAUUGUCAUUGGCAAUUGCGAUGUGGCAUACUGAUUUUGUUAUUCUACGAGGUGACUCCGCGUGACGUACGCGCUUUUUUAUCUCGCAAACGUGCUGCGAAAUCGAAAACUGCAAAAUAACCGGGGUGCAGAACUAUCACUGGAAAUGCGAAAUCAUCGCCAUCGAGUUUUGUCCAGCUUGCCGGAUAUUUGUGUGGAAAUUUCCUAAUAAAAAAUUUCAAAGUUAUUGGUGAGAUUUUCCACCUUUCUGCGGAAUGCCCAAGUUACCAGUAGUCGAAACUCGAGUCAUGCCAUGAGUUCCUCUGAAAGGGUAUUUCCCUUAACUCAAGUAUUGAAGCUGAGUGUCUAAAGUUUCUACUGAAACUUUUCUUU